GUGGAAUAUCUUGCAUUGGAAGGAAAUAGUGGAGAUUUUACAUCAUUUGGAUUGCUUGAGCUGAAGGAACCUGCUGAAACUCCAUUUGUAGUUGCUUCAGUAUCUUCUUCCAGCUUUGCAAGAUUGUCUGCCCAAGUUGAAAGCUUCAUACAGAACUUGACGUCACAUAAUGACCAGUCCAAUGUAAUGACUC